UAAAGUCAAGCAUACAAGUUUCCUCUUAGAGAAAAAACAAUAUUAUUUGAAUACUUGGAAAUGUUAGCAACUGAGGAUGAUAUAUUUUAUAAAUACAAAAAAACUAAACUGAGGAUGAUGAUUUUACAAAUAGAAAAAACCUGUGGAUUUCUUAAGGGAACUCUUGCAACAACUAAAAGUGAAGAUAACAUCUCAAGCAUUCCUAAUUUAGAGAUGGGCAUGAAGAUAUCUUUUUACAGAGUCACCGCUAUGUAAAGAUUUUGAGUAACUAGUAUGAAACAUUAUUUGACUUUCUUCAUCUCAUGUACAUCUGUCUUUACGA
rnacentral:lncRNA from 1 species